rnacentral:rRNA from 1 species
AUUGAACGCUGGCGGCAUGCCUUACACAUGCAAGUCGAACGGUAACAGGUCUUCGGAUGCUGACGAGUGGCGAACGGGUGAGUAAUACAUCGGAACGUGCCCGAUCGUGGGGGAUAACGGAGCGAAAGCUUCGCUAAUACCGCAUACGAUCUACGGAUGAAAGCAGGGGACCGCAAGGCCUUGUGCGGACGGAGCGGCCGAUGGCAGAUUAGGUAGUUGGUGGGAUAAAAGCUUACCAAGCCGACGAUCUGUAGCUGGUCUGAGAGGACGACCAGCCACACUGGGACUGAGACACGGCCCAGACUCCUACGGGAGGCAGCAGUGGGGAAUUUUGGACAAUGGGCGAAAGCCUGAUCCAGCCAUGCCGCGUGCAGGAUGAAGGCCUUCGGGUUGUAAACUGCUUUUGUACGGAACGAAAAGCCUGUUUCUAAUAAAGAGAGGUCAUGACGGUACCGUAAGAAUAAGCACCGGCUAACUACGUGCCAGCCGCCGCCGUAAAAC